rnacentral:rRNA from 1 species
AGUGAACGCUGGCGGCGUGCUUAACACAUGCAAGUCGAACGAGAACGGGAUAUAGCUUGCUAUAUUUGUCAGCUAAGUGGCGCACGGGUGAGUAAUGUAUAGAUAACCUGCCCUCUAGAAAGGAAUAACAGUUGGAAACGACUGCUAAUGCCCUAUAUGCCUUUAAUACAUAAGUAUGCAAGGGAAACGCUUUAGUGCUGGAGGAUGGGUCUGUAUGGUAUCAGCUUGUUGGUGAGGUAAUGGCUCACCAAGGCUAUGACGCCUAACUGGUUUGAGAGGAUGAUCAGUCACACUGGAACUGAGACACGGUCCAGACUCCUACGGGAGGCAGCAGUGGGAAUAUUGCACAAUGGACGAAAGUCUGAUGCGGCAACGCCGCGUGGAGGAUGACACAUUUCGGUGCGUAAACUCCUUUUAUAUAGGAAGAUAAUGACGGUACUAUAUGAAUAAGCACCGGCUAACUCCGUGCCAGUAGCCGCCGUAA